rnacentral:ncRNA from 1 species
AGAUGAGGUAGAGGUCGCGGUAUUCAUGAGUAUAAUCGACGAGGCGAGAAAGCGUUUAGGACUCGAUUAAAAAGGGAAUAUUGCCGAAGUACAAGCAAGCUUUUUAUUGCUAGUGCUGGGGCUGCUAUCGAAAGGUGCAGAACUGUCACGCCAAAGACGGCGUGUUGAGCUAUCUUGAUC